CUAAGGUGGCGCGUAAACACUCGGCUGCGGCUCACAAACACAGGACUGUGUGGUUGCUAAGCUCUCGGCGCUGUAGCGUGAAAAAUAAAAUCUGAGGGUUUUUCCCCGAUGCUUCAUCCUGACUGAGCUGGAUGAAGACCCAGUCUGGAUCAGGAACGAUUCAUCUGUUACCACAGUGUGAUGAUGCUGAGUGAGAAGCCCACACGUUUCCCUCAGCACCUCCACAGCCAGGCGAGACAGGAACCAAACCGCUGUGGCUUUGUGGUCAGCUCACGUCAAACGUCUGCCAGUGUGGAAUUCACCAGCUAUGUCUUUUUGGUUUUCAUGUGGGCUCAAAAAAAAAGAGAGAGAUCCUGCUACGUACAAGUGGGAGAGGAAAAGAGCUUCAUGUUUAACAUGUGCUGCGACGUGUUUAAUAAGAAACCCACAUCUGCUGCGAGAGGUUCAGUAAGGAUGAAGUAAAAAUCUGAUGUUUGAUGAAAUUUAAAAAGGCUUUGGACUGGGGGAGGAAACCAGAGUACCUGGAAGAGCAUGCAAACUCACCCACACAGGGCGGAUGUGGGAUUUAAGCCCCCAACCCCCGAGGUGAAAUGCAAAGAUGAUGUCACUCCCGGUCCAUCCGAUAGUGGCCUGAGAUCGUUUUAUUUGUCCGAAGAGGACGAAACCACACCUCCCACAUCAGGAAACCAUUCCGUUGAACUUCCUUUUCUGCUUCCAAGAUGCAUUCUUCUGGACGUGACCGAGACAGAGACCGGAUUUUUGCAUUGCUUCAUGAGAAAACAGGCACUUGUAAUUUCUCUGGCCUGAGUUACACCCUCUCUAACAGCCAGUGUGUUGGUUUUGGUUCUGGUUCUGAUCCUGCUCGAAAAUAGAAACAGAAAAUAAAUGAUAGUCUUAGCUAUAAAAAUAGCGUUGCUACAAAUUUGGAAAUUCUUAAUUACUUUUCAGCUUCUCUUUGGUCCUUCAUGCAACACUGAGACACCUAACACAGGAAAUACGU
ensembl:lncRNA